rnacentral:rRNA from 1 species
GAUGAACGCUGGCGGCGUGCCUAAUACAUGCAAGUCGAGCGAACGGACGAGAAGCUUGCUUCUCUGAUGUUAGCGGCGGACGGGUGAGUAACACGUGGAUAACCUACCUAUAAGACUGGGAUAACUUCGGGAAACCGGAGCUAAUACCGGAUAAUAUUUUGAACCGCAUGGUUCAAAAGUGAAAGACGGUCUUGCUGUCACUUAUAGAUGGAUCCGCGCUGCAUUAGCUAGUUGGUAAGGUAACGGCUUACCAAGGCAACGAUGCAUAGCCGACCUGAGAGGGUGAUCGGCCACACUGGAACUGAGACACGGUCCAGACUCCUACGGGAGGCAGCAGUAGGGAAUCUUCCGCAAUGGGCGAAAGCCUGACGGAGCAACGCCGCGUGAGUGAUGAAGGUCUUCGGAUCGUAAAACUCUGUUAUUAGGGAAGAACAUAUGUGUAAGUAACUGUGCACAUCUUGACGGUACCUAAUCAGAAAGCCACGGCUAACUACGUGCCAGCAGCCGCGGUAAUACGUAGGUGGCAAGCGUUAUCCGGAAUUAUUGGGCGUAAAGCCGCGCGUAGGCGGUUUUUUAGUCUGAUGUGAAAGCCCACGGCUCAACCGUGGAGGGUCAUUGGAAACUGGAAAACUUGAGUGCAGAAGAGGAAAGUGGAAUUCCAUGUGUAGCGGUGAAAUGCGCAGAGAUAUGGAGGAACACCAGUGGCGGAGGCGACUUUCUGGUCUGUAACUGACGCUGAUGUGCGAAAGCGUGGGGAUCAAACAGGAUUAGAUACCCUGGUAGUCCACGCCGUAAACGAUGAGUGCUAAGUGUUAGGGGGUUUCCGCCCCUUAGUGCUGCAGCUAACGCAUUAAGCACUCCGCCUGGGGAGUACGACCGCAAGGUUGAAACUCAAAGGAAUUGACGGGGACCCGCACAAGCGGUGGAGCAUGUGGUUUAAUUCGAAGCAACGCGAAGAACCUUACCAAAUCUUGACAUCCUUUGACAACUCUAGAGAUAGAGCUUUCCCCUUCGGGGGACAAAGUGACAGGUGGUGCAUGGUUGUCGUCAGCUCGUGUCGUGAGAUGUUGGGUUAAGUCCCGCAACGAGCGCAACCCUUAAGCUUAGUUGCCAUCAUUAAGUUGGGCACUCUAAGUUGGCUGCCGGUGACAAACCGGAGGAAGGUGGGGAUGACGUCAAAUCAUCAUGCCCCUUAUGAUUUGGGCUACACACGUGCUACAAUGGACAAUACAAAGGGCAGCGAAACCGCGAGGUCAAGCAAAUCCCAUAAAGUUGUUCUCAGUUCGGAUUGUAGUCUGCAACUCGACUACAUGAAGCUGGAAUCGCUAGUAAUCGUAGAUCAGCAUGCUACGGUGAAUACGUUCCCGGGUCU